rnacentral:rRNA from 1 species
CCAGACUCCUACGGGAGGCAGCAGUGGGGGGUAUUGGACAAUGGGGGAAACCCUGAUCCAGCGACGCCGCGUGAGUGAAGAAGUAUUUCGGUAUGUAAAGCUCUGUCAGCAGGGAAGAAAGAAAUGACGGUACCUGACCAAGAAGCCCCGGCUAACUACGUGCCAGCAGCCGCGGUAAUACGUAGGGGGCAAGCGUUAUCCGGAUUUACUGGGUGUAAAGGGAGCGUAGACGGCUGUGCAAGCCAGAUGUGAAAGCCCGGGGCUCAACCCCGGGACUGCAUUUGGAACUGUGUGGCUGGAGUGUCGGAGAGGCAGGCGGAAUUCCUAGUGUAGCGGUGAAAUGCGUAGAUAUUAGGAGGAACACCAGUGGCGAAGGCGGCUUACUGGACGACUACUGACGCUGAGGCUCGAAAGCGUGGGGAGCAAACAGGAUUAGAUACCCUUGUAC